rnacentral:tRNA from 1 species
GGUUCUGUGUCCGAGUGGUCAGGAGCUGGUCUGCAAAACCAGUCACGCCGGUUCGAAUCCGGUCGGAACCU